rnacentral:rRNA from 1 species
CCGGUUGAUCCUGCUGGACCCGACUGCUAUCAGAGUGAGAUUAAGCCAUGCGAGUAAACGUAGCAAUACGUGGCGCACGGCUCAGUAACACGUAGUCAACAUGCCCAGAGGACGUGGAUAACCUCGGGAAACUGAGUCUAAACCGCGAUAAGUGAGGAUUUCUGGAAUGGUUCCUGACUAAAAUCUAUAUGGCCUCUGGAUUGGACUGCGGCCGAUCAGGCUGUUGGUGAGGUAAUGGCCCACCGAACCUGUAACCGGUACGGGCUCUGAGAGGAGGAGCCCGGAGAUGGGCACUGAGACAAGGGCCCAGGCCCUAUGGGGCGCAGCAGGCGCGAAACCUCUGCAAUAGGCGAAAGCCUGACAGGGUUACUCUGAGUGACUUUCGCUAAGAAAGUCUUUUGGCACCUCUAAAAAGGGUGCAGAAUAAGGGGUGGGCAAGUCUGGUGUCAGCCGCCGCGGUAAUACCAGCACCCCGAGUGGCCGGGACGAUUAUUGGGCCUAAAGCAUCCGUAGCCGGUUCUGCAAGUCCCCCGUUAAAUCCAGCUGCUCAACAGAUGGGCCGCGGAGGAUACUACAGAGCUAGGAGGCAGGAGAGGCAAGCGGUACUCAGUGGGUAGGGGUAAAAUCCACUGAUCCAUUGAAGACCACCAGUGGCGAAGGCGGCUUGCCAGAACGCGCUCGACGGUGAGGGAUGAAAGCUGGGGGAGCAAACCGGAUUAGAUACCCGGGUAGUCCCAGCUGUAAACGAUGCAGACUCGGUGAUGGGCUGGCCUUGUGCCAACCCAGUGCCGCAGGGAAGCCGUUAAGUCUGCCGCCUGGGGAGUACGGUCGCAAGACUGAAACUUAAAGGAAUUGGCGGG